rnacentral:rRNA from 1 species
GACGAACGCUGGCGGCGUGCUUAACACAUGCAAGUCGAGCGGUAAGGCCCUUUCGGGGUACACGAGCGGCGAACGGGUGAGUAACACGUGGGUGACCUGCCCUCAGCUCUGGGAUAAGCCCGGGAAACUGGGUCUAAUACUGGAUAUGACUCCAUGACGCAUGUUGUGGGGUGGAAAGCCUUGUGCGGCUGAGGAUGGGCCCGCGGCCUAUCAGCUUGUUGGUGGGGNGAUGGCCUACCAAGGCGACGACGGGUAGCCGGCCUGAGAGGGCGACCGGCCACACUGGGACUGAGACACGGCCCAGACUCCUACGGGAGGCAGCAGUGGGGAAUCUUGCGCAAUGGGCGAAAGCCUGACGCAGCGACGCCGCGUGAGGGAUGACGGCCU